UACGAAGGGGGCUAGCGUUGCUCGGAAUUACUGGGCGUAAAGGGAGCGGAGGCGGACAUUUAAGUCAGGGGUGAAAUCCCAGAGCUCAACUCUGGAACUGCCUUUGAUACUGGGUGUCUUGAGUGUGAUAGAGGUAUGUGGAACUCCGAGUGUAGAGGUGAAAUUCGUAGAUAUUCGGAAGAACACCAGUGGCGAAGGCGACAUACUGGAUCAUUACUGACGCUGAGGCUCGAAAGCGUGGGGAGCAAACAGG
rnacentral:rRNA from 1 species